rnacentral:rRNA from 1 species
UAAUACAGAGGGUGCAAGCGUUGUUCGGAAUUACUGGGCGUAAAGCGCGUGUAGGCUGCGGAAUAAGUCGGAUGUGAAAGCCCUCAGCUUAACUGAGGAAGUGCAUCCGAUACUGUCUCGCUUGAGUGUCGGAGGGGAUGGCGGAAUUCCCGGUGUAGAGGUGAAAUUCGUAGAUAUCGGGAGGAACACCUGUGGCGAAGGCGGCCAUCUGGACGACGACUGACGCUGAGACGCGAAAGCGUGGGUAGCAAACAGGAUUAGAUACCCUGGUAGUCCACGCUGUAAACGAUGAGUGCUAGACGUCACGGGUAUUGACCCCUGUGGUGUCGAAGUUAACACGUUAAGCACUCCGCCUGGGGAGUACGGUCGCAAGAUUA